AUUGAACGCUGGCGGAAUGCUUUACACAUGCAAGUCGAACGGCAGCACGGACUUCGGUCUGGUGGCGAGUGGCGAACGGGUGAGUAAUACAUCGGAACGUGCCCAGUCGUGGGGGAUAACGUAGCGAAAGCUACGCUAAUACCGCGUACGAUCUACGGAUGAAAGCGGGGGAUCGCAAGACCUCGCGCGAUUGGAGCGGCCAAUGGCAGAUUAGGUAGUUGGUGGGGUAAAGGCUCACCAAGCCGACGAUCUGUAGCUGGUCUGAGAGGACGACCAGCCACACUGGGACUGAGACACGGCCCAGACUCCUACGGGAGGCAGCAGUGGGGAAUUUUGGACAAUGGGCGCAAGCCUGAUCCAGCCAUUCCGCGUGCAGGAUGAAGGCCCUCGGGUUGUAAACUGCUUUUGUACGGAACGAAAAGGCUCUGGUUAAUACCUGGGGCUCAUGACGGUACCGUAAGAAUAAGCACCGGCUAACUACGUGCCAGCCGCCGCGGUAA
rnacentral:rRNA from 1 species